AACGAACGCUGGCGGCAGGCCUAACACAUGCAAGUCGAGCGAAGCCUUCGGGCUUAGCGGCGGACGUGUGAGUGACGCGUGGGAACGUGCCCUUUGGUACGGAAUAGCCACGGGAAACUGGGAGUAAUACCGUAUGUGGUCGAGAGACGAAAGAUUUAUCGCCAAAGGAUCGGCCCGCGUUGGAUUAGGUAGUUGGUGGGGUAAUGGCCUACCAAGCCGACGAUCCAUAGCUGGUUUGAGAGGGUGAUCAGCCACACUGGGACUGAGACACGGCCCAGACUCCUACGGGAGGCAGCAGUGGGGAAUCUUAGACAAUGGGGGAAACCCUGAUCUAGCCAUGCCGCGUGAUCGAUGAAGGCCUUAGGGUUGUAAAGAUCUUUCAGUGGGGAAGAUAAUGACUGUACCCACAGAAGAAGCCCCGGCUAACUCCGUGCCAGCCGCCGCGGUAACAC
rnacentral:rRNA from 1 species